rnacentral:rRNA from 1 species
CUUGCUUCUCUUGAGAGCGGCGGACGGGUGAGUAAUGCCUAGGAAUCUGCCUGGUAGUGGGGGAUAACGUUCGGAAACGGACGCUAAUACCGCAUACGUCCUACGGGAGAAAGCAGGGGACCUUCGGGCCUUGCGCUAUCAGAUGAGCCUAGGUCGGAUUAGCUAGUUGGUGGGGUAAUGGCUCACCAAGGCGACGAUCCGUAACUGGUCUGAGAGGAUGAUCAGUCACACUGGAACUGAGACACGGUCCAGACUCCUACGGGAGGCAGCAGUGGGGAAUAUUGGACAAUGGGCGAAAGCCUGAUCCAGCCAUGCCGCGUGUGUGAAGAAGGUCUUCGGAUUGUAAAGCACUUUAAGUUGGGAGGAAGGGUUGUAGAUUAAUACUCUGCAAUUUUGACGUUACCGACAGAAUAAGCACCGGCUAACUCUGUGCCAGCAGCCGCGGUAAUACAGAGGGUGCAAGCGUUAAUCGGAAUUACUGGGCGUAAAGCGCGCGUAGGUGGUUUGUUAAGUUGGAUGUGAAAUCCCCGGGCUCAACCUGGGAACUGCAUUCAAAACUGACUGACUAGAGUAUGGUAGAGGGUGGUGGAAUUUCCUGUGUAGCGGUGAAAUGCGUAGAUAUAGGAAGGAACACCAGUGGCGAAGGCGACCACCUGGACUAAUACUGACACUGAGGUGCGAAAGCGUGGGGAGCAAACAGGAUUAGAUACCCUGGUAGUCCACGCCGUAAACGAUGUCAACUAGCCGUUGGAAGCCUUGAGCUUU